GACGAACGCUGGCGGCGUGCCUAAUACAUGCAAGUAGGACGCAGUUGCGAACGGGUGAGUAACGCGUAGGUAACUACCUAUUAGAGGGGGAUAACUAUUGGAAACGAUAGCUAAUACCGCAUACUAGUAGAUGGACCUGCGUUGUAUUAGCUAGUAGGUGGGGUAAUGGCCUACCUAGGCAACGAUACAUAACCGACUGUGGAGGGGGGUCGGCCCACCUGGGACUGAGACACGGCCCCGAUUCCUACGGGGGGGAGCAGUAGGGAAACUUCGGCAAUUGGGGGAACCCUGACCGAGCAACGCCGCGGGAGUGAAGAAGGGUUUCGGAUCGUAAAGCUCUGUUGUUAAGGAAGCGGUACUUAACCAGAAAGGGACGGCUAACUACGUGCCAGCAGCCGCGGUAAUUC
rnacentral:rRNA from 1 species